rnacentral:rRNA from 1 species
AUACGGAAGGUCCGGGCGUUAUCCGGAUUUAUUGGGUUUAAAGGGAGCGCAGGCGGAGAUGCAAGCGUGACGUCAAAUUUCGGGGCUCAACCCCGUCUCGCGUCGCGAACUGCGUCCCUUGGUUGCGGGAAGGGGAGGCGGAACUCGGGGUGUAGCGGUGAAAUGCAUAGAUAUCACGAAGAACUCCGAUCGCGAAGGCAGCCUUCCGGCCCGUCAACGACGCUCAUGCUCGAAGGUGCGGGUAUCAAACAGGAUUAGAUACCCUGGUAGUCCGCACAGUAAACGAUGGACACCCGCGGUUUGGCCUAUAUGGCUGAGCCGCCAAGCGAAAGCGUUAAGUGUCCCACCUGGGGAGUACGCCGGCAACGGUGAAACUCAAAUGAAUUGGCGGGG